rnacentral:rRNA from 1 species
GAUGAACGCUAGCGGCAGGCCUAAUACAUGCAAGUCGAGGGAGAAUGUUGGAUUCGUCUGACAUGAAACCGGCGCACGGGUGCGUAACACGUAUGCAACUUACCUUUAACUGGGGUAUAGCUCAGAGAAAUCUGAAUUAAUCCCCCAUAAGACUACGACAUGGCAUCAUGAUGUAGUUAAAGCUCCGGCGGUUAAGGAUGGGCAUGCGGUACAUUAGCUAGUUGGUGAGGUAAUGGCUCACCAAGGCUACGAUGUAUAGGGGGUCUGAGAGGAUGAUCCCCCACACUGGUACUGAGACACGGACCAGACUCCUACGGGAGGCAGCAGUAGGGAAUAUUGGUCAAUGGACGCAAGUCUGAUCCAGCCAUUCCGCGUGCAGGAUGAAGGCCCUCGGGUUGUAAACUGCUUUUGUACAGAACGAAAAGGUUUCUACUAAUACUAGGAGCUCAUGACGGUACUGUAAGAAUAAGCACCGGCUAACUACGUGCCAGCCGCCGCGGUAA